rnacentral:lncRNA from 1 species
AAAAAAAAAAAAAAAAAAAAAAACGCUUUAAUGAUAAUCCCCUGGUUUGACCUUUACACUGAGAAAAAGAGGAUUACAGUUUACUAUUCUAUCCUGACUCCCAUAAAACCCUCCCCAGCCAAAGAUGUUCACUUGUACCUGUAAAGAGUAGUGCAUCCUGGUCAAUCUUUUGCACAAGCUUAAUUCCUUUAUUUUUUUAUUUUUAUUUUUUGAGAUGGGUGGUGGUGUUAGUAGUUAGGACCUUUAGUGAACAGUAUGAAUUUAUCAUCAUGAUUCAUUGUCAAUUGGUCCUUUCCAGUCUUGCCUCUAUUUUUUGUUAUUUUCAUUUACUUUUAUAAUUUAAUGGAUGCCUACAGAGCCACAGCCUGUCCUAAAACAUUAUCAUAACUUCUAUGAAGCUAAUCUUUUACUCUCUGUCCUUUCCUCUGCCUUUCUCUCCUUUACUCCAUGGGAAGUAACCCCUAUUUUGAAGUUUUGUUCAAUCUCCAUGAUAAAACACAAAGCAAGAAUUUUACCUAUUAGCUUACAUAUGAAUUAAUGAGAAGCCAAAAAAUCCUAUUCUCCACUGCAUUAGUUAAGUCAAGAAACUACAUAUAACAGACUUUGCCAUUUUUGUAUGUAUACUCAGUUGCAAAAAUAGUAACAUUUGCAUUUUUUUGAAAAAUUGGCAGCACCUGUGAAGGGUUUGUGGUCUACUGAUAUACCCAUUUUACAUCCUUGACAAUCACCAUUGGGUCUGAAAGUUGACAUCUAAGGGCACUUGAUCUUUACUUAGAUUUGACCCAUCCUUUUCUACUGCUCAGUUUAUCUCAAAGCCAAAAUAUCACUAUCAGGACAAUGAUAAUUAUUUGUCUAAACUAUGUUUCUAAAUGCUGUGUCAUUUCCUAAAGUGUUUUGUACAUUUUUAAAUAGUUUUCUGCAUGUAUUCAUUCAUGCUACUGCAUUUAUUCAAGUAAAAAUAUUCUUUUUUUUCUUUGUCUUUUGUCUUUUUAGGGCUACACCCACGGCAUGUGGAAGUUCCCAGGCUAGGGGUCCAGUCAGAGCUGUAGCCGCAGGCCUACACCACAGCCACAGCAACUCAGGAUCCAAGCUGCGUCUGUGACCUACACCACAGCUCAUGGGCAAUGCCAAAUCCUUAACCUGCUGAGUGAGACCAGGGAUCGAACCAUCCUCCUCAUGGCUGCUAGUCAUAUUCGUUAACAACUGAUCCACAAUGGGAAUUCCAGAAGUUCUAUCAUGAUUAGCAUUUGACUUUCAGUGUUGUCUUAUAUCAACAUCAAGCUGGCAGAUGGGAAAGAGUAUAAAGGAUCAUGCUUGAGAGGCAUUUUUGCAUCCUGCCUACACAUGGACCUUACAGCUUCCACUAAUAUUUGAUUGGCUGGUACUCAGUCACCUGUAUACAUCUUACUUCAGGGGAGCUGAGAAAUACAGUAAUCUGGAAAGACAAGAAAGACUUGUUUUUGACAAAUGGCCAACAGAAUCUGCCACAACCACAUUUUUAGGGAGAUUCUAAAAAAAAGACUUAGCUUUGCUUUUGGUCUGGCAGAUCUAAGGUUGAACCUUGUAUUUCCUUGUACCAGCUGAGUAAGCAUGGGAAAAGUAUUUACCUUCUCAUUGUCUAAAUAUAUGUCUAUAUACACAUAUAGACAUAUAACAUAGAGAUCAGAACAUCUACAGACUUACCCUCACAUGGAUUAUAGUAUAAAUGGAAGGAAAUAACGUAUAUAUAAAAUGCCUAUUAUAGGGCCUGGCUGAUUGUGUGUAGUCCAACAUGGUAAAUUUUGUUAUUAUCAUCAAGUAAUGAUUCAGUAUUCUAUGUAUACAUCAUAAUUAGUACAUUAGCCUUCUCACUCACCUGACACCUCCAUGUUUAGUGGUGUUCAGUUCAUUUAAGUAGAGUUGUCUUAUGGAUUCAAGCAUAAUCUGUAGAAAAUCUCCCUUAAAAAAUUAAUGUGGGAUAACUGAUAAAGGUGAUCUCCUCCUCUCAAUUGUAAAAGGCAUUGUAAUUGAAAUAUUAGUUUGAGCUUGAGAAUCUUGGAAAACAGAGCCUUGAGAAAAUGGGACCCAAAGAUAUAUUGGUUGUAGGUGGUCAAAAAUCCUUCUGUAUGGAUUGUGGAAUAAUAUGAGCAAGUCCAAGAAGAUUCUUAUUUGGAAAGAGUGGAGAGGCUUAGAUAACAGUGGCAAGAAGGAACCAAAGGAUUUGAGCCAUAUCAGUUUUGCCCAGGGCUUCCCCUAGUGGCUGUUAGAGCUUUAUUGUUUCUCUUAAUGUUUUUUUUGUUUGUUUGUUUCUUUGUUUUUGCCAGUCCUAGCUGACUUUAAAAAUCUAGAAAUGUGGGGUAAGAGUGAUUGCUGUGGAGUAAGAGUGCCACACAAUGACAAAGAUGGGGAGCAGCCACCUGAUAAAAAGCCAAUGUCAUCCUAAAUAAAUCUGUAUUAGUAUAAGCUGAUGAGCUGUGAGAGGUAUAUUUCUAAAUACUGACAAAAAUGAAUAUAUUUUGCCAAUUCAUUACAGCUAUACCAAGGUAUAGAAUGAGGCUACUUAAGUUGAGGAUGAUUAAAAAUGCCUGUGAACAGUGACACAAUUUACCAGCAGUCUUCUGUGGUAUUGCCCAACGUUAGUGGAAAAAACGAUUUAUCUCUAACUUUUAGUUUCUUGGAAAACAGGCCUUUUGGUAAGCAUCAAAGUUAUUCGUAAAAGGUAAAGGAUGCAAUAUGCAGUGAAAUGAUAGUAUAUGUUUGCAUGUUACUACUAGCCAGGAGUGUUCUCUUUGUUGAUCAUGUAUUGAAACUGAGCUUAGUCUGCUGUGAUAAGUAUGGAGCUCUCUUUUCAUGGACUAUUCCACAAUUGAACUCUGGAUGCAUUUAAUAGGAAACUCAUGAUCUUAUAGAUUUCUCAGUGGAACUUAGUAAAUAAUAAAUUGUAUAAAGAUCUUGAGUCCAUCAGAAAAACUAGACAAAGUAAAGACCCAGUCAUCAAUUUUUAAGAUUCCUUCUGUUGUUUCGCUUUUAUAAUAAGUAAAGUAAAACUUAAGUCACAAAAUCCCAAAUUCGUCAUAAACCACUAUGUAGGGCCACUGAUAAUUUAAGUUUAUUUUUUGGACAAAAUAUGAAGAGUUCAUUUACUAAGACAAACAUCUAGCAUUUCAAUUGAUUAUGCACAGCAUUCUUUGAAGAUGCCAUAGAUUCUUGCCUGAAGUCAGUUUUAGCUUGAACAUUAGUGAAUGACAUCAAACUUCCCAGUGGCUUCAGUUCCUAUUUCUUUUUUGUAAUUUCCUUUUUUAUUUCUAUUUUUUCCAGAUUACAUGUCAAUAUGAUGUUAAUGACCUUGCAUAAACUUAUUUGUAAUUCACUGUAUGUCAUCAUUUAGUUGAGAUUUGUAUUAGAAUUUAUUUUAACCAAAUAUUCUACAAUAGCUGCUUAACGGAUUAGUCUUAACAACUGGUAUAUUUAUAUAAAGUAAGACUGUUGUAAUGUUCUAAAAAUCAGUGCAGUGAUUCCUAUUAAAAGUAUACAGAGUUCUGAAUUACUACAAACUAAGUGAGAGGGAACAGAGAUACCUAUUCACAGGAAUAAAUUCAAUAUUUUCUUUCACUUGAUCAUUCCUUCUUAGCCCUUCCCAAUUUCAACACUACUGAUUCUCCUCUUUAUGUCCUUGCUAUAACUAACCUAAAUGAGGUUGUUACCUCUGCCUGCAUCUAAGCAGCUUCCAUCUGGACCUUUUAAAGUAUCAAUUUGAUUCUCCAAUGUUUCUUUCUCCCUUUCUGAUAUGUAUACACACACACAUACACAUACAUAUAUAUAUAUAUACACAUAUAUAUAUAUAUACUGUAACAAUGAUAGAAAUUGUAGUCCAAAUGCCAAAGAGAAAGUGUUUGCAAGUCAAACCAAACAAAACAUAACCACUUCCUUACUCUAGGAUGUCUACCUUCUUGGUUUUCGCACUAUCUGAGAAGUUACCUGUACUACUCCCUCUUUUUUCAUCUUUGGUUAACUCCUAUUCAUCCCCCCAAUCCCAUCAACUCAAAGCUCACCUCUUCAGUUAAGUCUUUACCUUUAGAGAGAAAGAGUAAGUUGCCCCCUUAUGAAGCCUUUAAAGAAUAAAUAAUAAUUGAUCAUGUGGCCAACUUGUCACAUCUAGGGAGAUAAAGAUAAUUUCUUCUCUCGAGAACCUCCAUUUAUUGGCAUAGAUAUGUUGACUAAUAAUGCAAUAUGAAUGUAAAAACAUAAAACAGGUGAUAUAUGACUAUUGCACAACAAGGCUGACACAAAGGAAAGCCUGACUUAUAAAGAAAAUAUUUGAGCUGGUUCUUAAAGGAUGACCAAGAAACUUCUGGGUUACUUUAGAUUUGCCUCAUAUCAUAGUGUUUUUAUUUACUUGUUCACAUUAGAUUUAUCUUUGCCUGGAUAAUGCAUCUUUUGCUCUACUAUGAGUUCUGUGUCUUUUUGGUACUUGAUGGGAUUCAUUAUUUAACAAGUCUUAGCAUGGAGGUAGCAUUCAGUAAUGUUUAUUGAAUGAAUUAAGACAUGAGUUGCUCAUCUAUUUCAAAAGUUUCUCUCUUCCUUUCUGUCUAUGCUUUAUCUUUCCUUCAAUUUUAAGUUCAAAAGUCUUGGCUUCCAGUUUUUUUUAAUAUUAUAUUAUACUCUUGCUAUUUUUGCAAAUCACUAAUUUUUUACUAAUUCAUUUUAUGUAAAAGAAAACAAAUUAUUUUCAAGUUUCUGAUAAUAUCAUUAAGAUAUGACCCAGUAAUUUAAAUGGAGAUGUAUGUGAAGGAACUAAAGACAUUGGUCUAAGUGAUCCACAGGGAAUUUAGUAGCUUUAUUGAUCAGCGAUCAAAGAUUCCUCUUUUUCACUAUUGUAUAUUUUAUGCAUUUUCACUAUUGUUAUAUGUUUUAUACAUGCUCUAGUCCUAGUCAGAUUCCUAGUCAGAUUCAUUUCUGCUGCACCACGACAGGAACUCCUAUUUUAUACAUACUCCUAAAAGCCUUAUUUUUGUAUUCUUUCAGAUAUUGUGUGCUUGUAGUAACCAAUAAAAUUGCCAAUAAAAUUUGUAAAUAUGGUGAAUUUUUAAACUAAUUUUAUCAUUAAUAUAACCACAUAAUGAAACUGAAAUUAAUGUUAUAUAACCAGAAUAAUAAUUUUUUAAACUAAUUUUGCUGAUUUUAUUUUGUUGACUUUGAAGGGUCACUUUAUGAAACAGACAAAAGUAAUCAUACAAAAAUGUUUUGUGUUUAUAUGUUAUAUAUACAUUUUCAUAGACCGAGAGUUUGGGUUUGAUAGAUGCAAACUCUUAAAUUUAGAAUGGCUAGACCUAAGGUCCUACUGUAUAGCACAGGAGCAUAUAUCCAAUCUCCUUGGAUAGACUGUGAUGGAAAAUAUAUAAAAAAAAAUGUUUAUAGACGUAUGACUGAAUCACUUUGCUGUGUAGCAGAAAUUGGUAUAAUAUCAUAAAUCACUAUACUUUUAUAAAAAAAUAAAUUUUUAUAAUAUCCUAUAUAAUACCAUAUAUUAGAAUCUAUUUUUAGCAACAUAACUCUAAAUUUGAUGAAUCCAUCAUUUUAUAGAUAUAUUAAGGCAUAUAAUGCAAAAAUUAUAAAAUAGUUUAGGAGUCAAAAUACAAUUGGGGAACUUACGAGUUCCCUAUUUAUUUUAAUGGUAGGGCAUAAACUAAAAUUAUUUUCAUUAAAAUCUACUUGUUCAACAAACAUUUAUUAAGCAUCAGCUAUGAUUAAGUUGUUUUACUAGGCAUUGCCAAUACAAAGGGGACCAAAAUAGACCUUGCCUCAAAGACACAGUUUACUAUUGAUAUAGUUUGUUUCUAUCAAUCAUAUAGUCAAUCAGUAAAUUUCAACUAUUGCGCAUUAAGUUUUGCUAGAGUUAUAAGUAGAGAGUCUAAAGGAAUUUUAUGGGUGCUUUUUAGGACAUCUGUUUCUAUUAGUGAAGCAUGAGCCCUUGAGUUUGAGGUUGUGAGUGAUAAAAUAAUAGGAAUAUUAGCUCCUUUUGAUCAUACAUGAUGAUCAUUCACUAAGAUGUGAAAACAGCAGUAAAAGAGAACCGGUAAGUUAUAUGUUAUCUUAGUUUCACAUAUUUUAAGAAUCUGUGGGGAGACCUAAAUAUGCACUUGAAAGGAAUUGAGUAUUUUCUAUUUGUUUUAAAACUAUUAAAAUAACUAUUUUCAUUUAACUAAUUCUAUACAGAAUACUCAUAUCACAACUGUCUUAUGUAUAAUUUAAGAGCUUUGGACCAAAAAAACCAAUUAAUAUACUGCCUUUCUUGAGCUUCAGCCUUCCUUGUAUCUGAAAGUAUUAAGUUUAAUGGCAAAGGGGGGAAAAGAAGGAGACUCGUGAAAAAUAUCCAGUACCAGUAAAGAAAUUAAGAAAAUGUAAUGUCUUUUGAACAGUGUCCUAGAGAAAGUGUUCAUAAAUCCAUUGGAAGAAAAAUGAAUAUGUAUUAGAUAUUAUAAUCUUCCAUUUCAGUGAAUUACAUUCUGUAAUCCUUCAUUAUACAUUGAAGGACAUAGCAUAGCUUUUCUUUCUAGCAUUUAGGUCAGCAAUGGUAUUUGAGAAAUAUAAAUGAAGCAAAAAAAAAAA